rnacentral:pre_miRNA from 1 species
AGUACAAUUGCGAGAUCACAUGUUUAGUUUUAUAAGAAACUGACAAACUGCCUUCCAAAUGGCUAUAACAUUUGGCAUUCCUGUUAGCAAU